AUGGCGGCAUUGGAAGGGACAGAUCAUGACUGACAGGGACAGACUGACAGGGAAGAGAGAAAGUUGAUGAUGGAGUUACUAAUAACAGCAAAAUAACAGAUGAGGAAUUUAAUGAGAGCUUUGCUGAUAAACAUUGGUAUGAAAUUUAAAAGUGUUGAUAGAUAAUAUGUAUUUCAUUUACCCGACACAUUCCCAGAGACUCAAAGUAUCUUGAGGUAUGUUAUUCCGCUCUUCAUCCUGCCCCUCCCCGACCUCCUCUGGUCUCUCGUACAGCUGUGUGUUUGGUACCAAUACAACAAGGAGAGUCAUUCCUUACUCCAACCGAUACUGUCCAGUAUAUUCUACUUCUUGUCUGUACUUUGUGUUCCUAAGUACAAGUCAAUACUUGAUUCCCUUGAGAAGGAGAGGGACAACCUCUCAUUGCCAUGACGAC